rnacentral:rRNA from 1 species
GACGAACGCUGGCGGCGUGCUUAACACAUGCAAGUCGAACGGAAAGGCCCUGCUUUUGUGGGGUGCUCGAGUGGCGAACGGGUGAGUAACACGUGAGUAACCUGCCCUUGACUUUGGGAUAACUUCAGGAAACUGGGGCUAAUACCGGAUAGGAGCUCCUGCUGCAAGGUGGGGGUUGGAAAGUUUCGGCGGUUGGGGAUGGACUCGCGGCUUAUCAGCUUGUUGGUGGGGUAGUGGCUUACCAAGGCUUUGACGGGUAGCCGGCCUGAGAGGGUGACCGGCCACAUUGGGACUGAGAUACGGCCCAGACUCCUACGGGAGGCAGCAGUGGGGAAUAUUGCACAAUGGGCGGAAGCCUGAUGCAGCAACGCCGCGUGCGGGAUGACGGCCUUCGGGUUGUAAACCGCUUUCGCCUGUGACGAAGCGUGAGUGACGGUAAUGGGUAAAGAAGCACCGGCUAACUACGU